rnacentral:rRNA from 1 species
CUUGGCGGCCAUAGCGAGUUGGACCCACUCCUUCCCAUCCCGAACAGGACAGUGAAACGACUUUGCGCCGAUGAUAGUGUGGAUUACCCAUGCGAAAGUAGGUCACCGCCAGGCUUCUAUUC